UUUUGGUGGGGAGGGGGGGUGUUGUGUUUGCGAUCUCUGCCUUGGUACCUAAGGAGGAAGAGGAGGAGGAGGGUGUGUUAUUGAAUGGUGGCUAAAGCCUCCUCGGGACGGCGCUGAGGUGAAACGGGCUGAACCCGACUGCUGUGCCUCCUCUCCCGGUUGGACCCGGUGCCCUAAGCAGCCGAGGAGGGACCCCAGCCGCCCGGCUCGCAGCACAAAUUAAACCAAGAAUAUGGAGAACCCAUAUGACUUCAUCCUUCAGACCACAAGUGAAGCUGAUUCAGCAAGUGGUGACAAGUCUGCUGUUUGAUCAAAUGAGGACCAACAUUUGGCAAUAAGCUAGCCACUGUAAUAUUUUGCUCAAUGCAUUUAUGGAUAUCAUUUAUAUCAAAACCAAACUUUUUAAAUUUAGAGCUCAGUACUAACACCUCAAUUACAGAUAUUUUCCUAUAAAUCUAAUCUUAAAACAGAAUUGCUUUUAUGGAAAAACAUUUCCAGUCUUGAUAGAAGAUAUUUGACAAAGUCAUGUAGGAUGAACUGAUGUGGAGUACUGUAUUGAUAUUUUCUUAAUUAUCAUUAAAGAUUAAAGAUUACUGUAGAGUUUAUUACACGGUGCCAUACACAGUUUAGAGAACUUGCUGUGAAACAAUGAAAAUUAACAAUCAUCAACUUUUCCAGUAGUGCUAUAACUUUAUCAACACUAUUCUUUACAACAUUCAUGUAAAGCAUGUUCAUUGGAUUUCAUCUGGAGACAUUUACACAAAAAAUAUUAAAAACAAUCCAAAGAUGCACUUACAAAUAAUAGUAAAAGAACCCUUGUCAACUGUGACCUUUAGUUUCUAUCUUGAAAAACUAUAAAGUCAGAGUAAAUCUAAACUUUCUAGACAUAAUUAGUAAUAUUUCCACUGCUUUUAAAAAUCAUUUCAUUUUUGCCAAUUAUAGCACAAGGUGUGAAUGAACUGAAACUGCUAAUAUAGAACAGAGUCAUCUCCUUUAUUACAAGUAAAUGUAUUGUCUUCUACUUUUUCUUUUCUUUUCUUUUUUUUUUUUUUUUUCCUUUUUCUUAGAUUUUGGGAAUUCUUGAAUUUCUUUUACAUGAUUUAAACAUCCUGUUAACCAACUUACUAGAACUGAUUUUUCUGCUCUUUCUGACUUCUUCUGUCCUCUUAAUCAAUUCAUUUUUCUCAACAAUAUCUCUGAGUGUUUGAUUUUACACUUCAGAAGUUUCCUUCAUUUUCUUUCUUUUCCUCUUUUUUCUGUUCUCUUCCCCCCCCCCCCCACAAGUUUUCCCUAGAUUUUUUUUUCUUCAGUUUUUUAGCUCUGUUUCAUGUCCAUCUUUUUGGAGCAAGUCUUCUGCACAAAUUUGUAUGGACUGUCUUUUAACACUGCCUGCACCCAGCAUUGCUGUGUUUAUUCCAAUUUGAUUUACAUGAACCAGUACUCAGAGAGAUAUUGCAUUCUUCCUGCUGUUGUUAAGAAUAGGAGCCCUAAUAUCUUCUUGAAAAGCUGUAACCACUGUUCUUGUUGCAACAUAGAUGCUACUUCUUUUAAUUGGUCUUGACGUAUUCAGUAGUAGCUACAAUUCAAAGGGGUCUCUGCAAGUUUAUGUUCUGAAAUAUAUAAAACCUCCAUCAUAUUAGUUUUGUUAUUUUGCAAGCUUUCUUAUUCCCAGACCACCAAGUACUUGAAAAAGACAAUACUGCAUGAUUCUUCUAGCAGUCACAAUGUUGUUCUUAAAAGGUGGUGCUUGAGAUGGUUGACAUAGCCCUACAACUUCUGCAGGCUCCCAGUAAUAUUCCUCAUGAAAACAUAAUAUUAAUUUGGCCCUUGUUAAAAGUUAAAACUAAAAUGUAGGAAUGGAUGCUCAUAUUUAUAUACAACUUACAGUAUUUUUGACUGCAUUCCCUAAGAGUGAAGUAUCAGAUCAAAGAAGAGAAAAAUAUAUAUGCUUACUUUUUACAGUGGAUUAUUGACAGGACUAUAGACAAAUGACACUAUACACUGGCAAGGUUCAAAUAAAAUACUGUUUCUUCCAUAAUUUGCCAUAGCAGACCGAAAAUUCUAAGUCUUAAUUGCUUACCAUACAUAAUUUCCCUCCUUCCCCUAGUCUAAAAAGUAUACAAUGUAAUAGUAGAAGAAAAUAUAAGACAGCAGAGGUGACACAGAAUGAAAUCAUUCAAUUAUUGGAGAAAUAUAGUUAUCUAAAAAAAAAAAAAAAAAAAAAAAAAAAAA